rnacentral:lncRNA from 1 species
UCAAAUUUGAAUUAACAAUUAAUUUUUUUAUUACAGUGGAUUAAAAUUAAAUUUUAAAUUUUAAAAUAAAUGUGAAUUAAAUUUUGAUAUUUUUAGUUUAAAAUAUAUAUUUAAAUUUGAUUCAUCAAAAAUUAAAAAGUAUAUAAAAAUGUUCGAUGUAUAUAGAAAAAAGAAUACGGUAGGAUAUGAAUAUUUUUUAAUAAAAUGUAACAUAUUAAUUUAUAAAUAUAAUUUUUAUUGUAAAAUUUUGGAUAUAUAUAAUGUACAAAUUUAUAUUGAUUUGAAAUAAAUUAUAAUAAUUGUUACGUGUUUUUGCACGUACAUUCAACUAUUAUUUUAUUAUAUAUAAAAGCAUACAGAAAUUCCGACAAUGACAGACGGAUUCCUUUUAAUAUAGGAAUUUCGAUAAUGACAGACGAAAUCCAAAAAGGAAUGAAAUAAUAUUCCCUACGAAUGGUUAUGAUUAAUUUGUUAAAAAUAUCUCAAAUAAAAAUGAACGGUUAUGAUCAAACUAUUAAAUCUCUACAAUAAAAUAAUAUUCCCUACGAAUAGUUAUGAUUAAUUUGUUAAAAAUAUCUCAAAUAAAAAUGAACGGUUAUGAUCAAACUAUUAAAUCUCUACAAUAAAAUAAUAUUCCCUACGAAUAGUUAUGAUUAAUUUGUUAAAAAUAUCUCAAAUAAAAACGAAUGGUUAUGAUCAAUCUAUUAAAUCUCUACUAUAUAUAAAAAUCUAUUCCGUAUAAAUGGUUAUAAUCAAUUUG